GUAAGGAAUAUUGGUCAAUGGAGGAAACUCUGAACCAGCCAUCCCGCGUGAAGGAUGAAGGGGCUCUGCCUUGUAAACUUCUUUUGAAUGGGACGAAAAAAGGGGAUUUAUCCUCGACUGACGGUACCAUUAGAAUAAGCACCGGCUAACUCCGUGCCAGCAGCCGCGGUAAUACGGAGGGUGCAAGCGUUAUCCGGAAUCACUGGGUUUAAAGGGUGCGUAGGCGGCUAAAUAAGUCAGUGGUGAAAGGCCGUGGCUUAACCAUGGGAUUGCCAUUGAUACUGUAUAGCUUGAAUGAGGAUGAGGUUGGCGGAAUGUGGCAUGUAGCGGUGAAAUGCUUAGAUAUGCCAUGGAACAUCGAUUGCGAAGGCAGCUGACUGGACCUGAAUUGACGCUGAGGCACGAAAGCGUGGGUAGCGAACAGGAUUAGAAACCCCUGUAGUCC
rnacentral:rRNA from 1 species